GCGAAGUCGCGAGGCUAAGCUAAUCUCUUAAAGCUUCUCUCAGUUCGGAUUGCAGGCUGCAACUCGCCUGCAUGAAGCCGGAAUCGCUAGUAAUCGCGGAUCAGCACGCCGCGGUGAAUACGUUCCCGGGCCUUGUACACACCGCCCGUCACACCACGAGAGUUUGUAACACCCGAAGUCGGUGAGGUAACCUUUUUGGAGCCAGCCGCCUAAGGUGGGAUAGAUGAUUGGGGUGAAGUCGUAACAAGGUAGCCGUAUCGGAAGGUGCGGCUGGAUCACCUCCUUU
rnacentral:rRNA from 1 species